rnacentral:rRNA from 1 species
GACGAACGCUGGCGGCGUGCUUAACACAUGCAAGUCACGGGGGCCCGCAAGGGUAACCGGCGAACGGGUGCGUAACACGUGAGCGACCUGCCUUUCCGCGGGGGAUAGCCGGCCCAACGGCCGGGUAAUACCGCAUACGCUGCGUUGGCCGCAUGGCCUUCGUAGGAAACCUCCGGGGCGGAGAGAGGGGCUCGCGACCUAUCAGCUAGUUGGCGGGGUAACGGCUCACCAAGGCGACGACGGGUAGCUGGUCNGAGAGGAUGGCCAGCCACAUUGGGACUGAGAUACGGCCCAGACUCCUACGGGAGGCAGCAGUGGGGAAUAUUGCGCAAUGGCCGCAAGGCUGACGCAGCGACGCCGCGUGUGGGAGGACGCCCUCGGGUGUAAACCACUGUUGCCCGGGACGAACAAUCCUCAAUCGUGAGGACUGACGGUACCGGGUGAGGAAGCACCGGCUAACU